UACAGAGGGGGCAAGCGUUGUUCGGAAUUACUGGGCGUAAAGGGCGCGUAGGCGGCCUUCUAAGUCGAACGUGAAAUCCCUGGGCUCAACCCAGGAACUGCGUCCGAUACUGGAAGGCUUGAAUCCGGGAGAGGGAUGCGGAAUUCCAGGUGUAGCGGUGAAAUGCGCAGAUAUCAGGAAGAACACCAAUGGCGAAGGCAGCUCUCUGGGACGGUACUGACGCUGAGACGCGAAAGCGUGGGGAGCGAACAGG
rnacentral:rRNA from 1 species